rfam:TPA: Bos taurus chromosome 5, whole genome shotgun sequence.
UCCCUGGUGGUCCAGUGGUUGGGACUCUGUGCUUCCACUGCAGGGGGCACAGGUUUAAUCCCUGGUUGGGGAA